rnacentral:rRNA from 1 species
GACGAACGCUGGCGGCGUGCUUAACACAUGCAAGUCGAACGGUGAAGCUCCAGCUUGCUGGAGUGGAUCAGUGGCGAACGGGUGAGUAACACGUGAGCAACCUGCCCCUGACUCUGGAAUAAGCGCUGGAAACGGCGUCUAAUACUGGAUACGAGAAGGGUCCGCAUGGGCACUUUCUGGAAAGUUUUUCGGUUGGGGAUGGGCUCGCGGCCUAUCAGCUUGUUGGUGAGGUAAUGGCUCACCAAGGCGACGACGGGUAGCCGGCCUGAGAGGGCGACCGGCCACACUGGGACUGAGACACGGCCCAGACUCCUACGGGAGGCAGCAGUGGGGAAUAUUGCACAAUGGGCGAGAGCCUGAUGCAGCGACGCCGCGUGAGGGAUGACGGCCUUCGGGUUGUAAACCUCUUUCAGCAGGGAAGAAGCGAAAGUGACGGUACCUGCAGAAGAAGCACCGGCUAACUACGUG